UACGUAGGGGGCGAGCGUUGUCCGGAUUUAUUGGGCGUAAAGAGCUCGUAGGCGGUUUGGCAAGUCGGGUGUGAAAACUCCGGGCUCAACUCGGAGACGCCACUCGAUACUGCCAUGACUCGAGUCCGGUAGGGGAGUGCGGAAUUCCUGGUGUAGCGGUGAAAUGCGCAGAUAUCAGGAAGAACACCCGUGGCGAAGGCGGCUCUCUGGGACGGUACUGACGCUGAGACGCGAAAGCGUGGGGAGCGAACAGG
rnacentral:rRNA from 1 species